AUACGGAGGGGGUUAGCGUUGUUCGGAAUUACUUGGCGUAAAGCGCACGUAGGCGGAUAUUUAAGUCAGGGGUGAAAUCCCAGAGCUCAACUCUGGAACUGCCUUUGAUACUGGGUAUCUUGAGUAUGGAAGAGGUAAGUGGAAUUCCGAGUGUAGAGGUGAAAUUCGUAUAUAUUCGGAGGAACACCAGUGGCGAAGGCGGCUCACUGCCUCGAUACUGACGCUGAGGUGCGA
rnacentral:rRNA from 1 species